AACAUAACCUUUAGCCAAACAAAUAUUAAAGGCAACGCCUGCCCAGUGAACAAUUAAACGGCCGCGGUACCCUAACCGUGCAAAGGUAGCAUAAUCAUUUGUCUACUAAUUAUAGACCUGUAUGAAAGGCAAAAUGAGGGCCUAACUGUCUCUUAUAAUGAAUCAAUUAAACUGAUCUUCUAGUAAAAAAGCUAGGAUUCCCACAUAAGACCAGAAGACCCUGUGAAGCUUAAACUAAACUAUUAAACCAUAUAAUAACUACUUUCGGUUGGGGCGACCUUGGAAAAAAAAAGAACUUCCAACAAUAAUGAUUAUCCAUACCACCCUAGGCUCACAAGCCAGUAAACGACCCAGCAUAGCUGAUCACCGAACCAAGUUACUCCAGGGAUAACAGCGCAAUCCUCUUCAAGAGCCCAUAUCAAAAARANRNNUNYNANCYCNNYNUUGGRNCAGGACAUCCUAAUGGUGCAGCCGCUAUUAAGGGUUCGUUGUCAAUCGAGUCA
rnacentral:rRNA from 1 species